AUAUUUCUGCUGAUAAAAAUACCGCAUGUGCUUCACAUGAUUUUUAUAUUUAAAAGCUUUGUGUUUUUCUUUCUAGGGAACAGGAUUCUCUGGUUAAGACCUGAAAACACAGAGUGUGUUCCCAAGUUACAUGCAAGUUUUGCUGCAUACCUUCAUUAUGAUCAGCACUGGCACUUGAGUGAUGCGCUGCUGAGAAACCGAUUUGCUCUUCCAAGCCCCGUGUUUUUGUAAAGGUGUCAUGUCAAAAUGUGCAGUGUUGAAGCAGCAGUAACUGAAUACUUCCCGGUUCUGUGUAUGGAUCUUAGAAAAUGUGGUGGUUCCCCCUACAAAGUAAACAAAGACAAAGCCAGUUAGGUGACAAUACUGGUUG
rnacentral:lncRNA from 1 species